UACGUAGGGUGCAAGCGUUGUCCGGAAUUAUUGGGCGUAAAGAGCUCGUAGGCGGUCUGUCACGUCUGCUGUGAAAACUCGGGGCUUAACCCCGGGCCUGCAGUGGGUACGGGCAGACUAGAGUGCGGUAGGGGAGACUGGAAUUCCUGGUGUAGCGGUGAAAUGCGCAGAUAUCAGGAGGAACACCUAUUGCGAAGGCAGCUCGCUGGGACGUUACUGACGCUGAGACGCGAAAGCGUGGGGAGCAAACAGG
rnacentral:rRNA from 1 species